rnacentral:rRNA from 1 species
UACGUAGGGUGCGAGCGUUAAUCGGAAUUACUGGGCGUAAAGCGUGCGCAGGCGGUCUGUUAAGACAGAUGUGAAAUCCCCGGGCUUAACCUGGGAACUGCAUUUGUGACUGGCAGGCUAGAGUAUGGCAGAGGGGGGGUAGAAUUCCACGUGUAGCAGUGAAAUGCGUAGAGAUGUGGAGGAAUACCGAUGGCGAAGGCAGCCCCCCUGGGAUAACACUGACGCUCA